UACGGAGGGUGCAAGCGUUAUCCGGAUUCACUGGGCGUAAAGGGUGCGUAGGCGGGUCUUUAAGUCAGGGGUGAAAUCCUGGAGCUCAACUCCAGAACUGCCUUUGAUACUGAAGAUCUUGAGUCCGGGAGAGGUGAGUGGAACUGCGAGUGUAGAGGUGAAAUUCGUAGAUAUUCGCAAGAACACCAGUGGCGAAGGCGGCUCACUGGCCCGGUACUGACGCUGAGGCACGAAAGCGUGGGGAGCAAACAGG
rnacentral:rRNA from 1 species